ensembl:miRNA
UGCAGGGAGUGGGGAGGAACUGGAUUUGGAGCCAGAAGAACUGGUUCUAAUAUCUACUUCCCUGUGUGGAGUUGGGAUUUGGAAUCAUAUGAGUUAAUGUACACCAA